UAAUGUUUGUAAGUCGUCUUA
rnacentral:siRNA from 1 species